rnacentral:rRNA from 1 species
AGGAUUAACGCUGGCGGCGUGCCUAAUACAUGCAAGUCGAGCGCCCCUUCGGGGGAGCGGCGGACGGCUGAGUACCACGUUGGUACCUACCCCGAACUCGGGGAUACGCCUGGGAAACCGGGUCUAAUACCCGAUAGUCUCUUUUGAGUAAAGAUUUAUCGGUUCGGGAAGGGCCUGCGUCCGAUUAGCUAGUUGGUGAGGUAAUGGCUCACCAAGGCGACGAUCGGUAGGUGGUCUGAGAGGAUGAUCACCCAGACUGGGACUGAGACACGGCCCAGACUCCUACGGGAGGCAGCAGUAAGGAAUCUUGCACAAUGGGGGAAACCCUGAUGCAGCAACGCCGCGUGGAGGAAGACGGUCUUCGGAUUGUAAACUCCUUUUAUUUGGGACGAACAUUGACGGUACCAGAUGAAUAAGGACUGGCUAACCACGUGCCAGCAGCCGC